rnacentral:rRNA from 1 species
UACGGAGGAUCCAAGCGUUAUCCGGAUUUAUUGGGUUUAAAGGGUGCGUAGGCGGCUUAUUAAGUCAGGGGUGAAAGACGGUGGCUCAACCAUCGCAGUGCCCUUGAUACUGGUGAGCUUGAAUACACUUGAGGUAGGCGGAAUGUGACAAGUAGCGGUGAAAUGCAUAGAUAUGUCACAGAACACCAAUUGCGAAGGCAGCUUACUAAGGUGCAAUUGACGCUGAGGCACGAAAGCGUGGGGAUCAAACAGG